rnacentral:rRNA from 4 species
CCGAGAUGAGUUCUCCCUGAGACUUUAGGUCUCCUGAAGGAACGUUGAAGACGACGACGUUGAUAGGCCGGGUGUGUAAGCGCAGCGAUGCGUUGAGCUAACCGGUACUAAUGAACCGUGAGGCUUAACCUUACAACGCCGAAG